rnacentral:rRNA from 1 species
GACGAACGCUGGCGGCGUGCUUAACACAUGCAAGUCGAGCGGUAAGGCCCUUCGGGGUACACGAGCGGCGAACGGGUGAGUAACACGUGAGCAAUCUGCCCUCCACAUCGGGAUACCUCCCGGAAACGGGAGCUAAUACCGGAUACGACCACUUCAGGCAUCUGAUGGUGGUGGAAAGUUCCGGCGGUGGAGGAUGAGCUCGCGGCCUAUCAGCUUGUUGGUGGGGUAAUGGCUUAUUAAGGCUUCGACGGGUAGCCGGCCUGAGAGGGUGACCGGCCACACUGGGACUGAGACACGGUCCAGACUUUUACGGGAGGCAGCAGUGGGGAAUAUUGGACAAUGGGCGAAAGUCUGAUCCAGCAACGCUGUGUGAGGGAUGACGGCCUUCGGGUUGUAAACCUCUUUCAGCGCAGACGAAGCGAAAGUGACGGUAUGCGCAGAAGAAGCAUCGGCCAACUACGUGCCAGCCGCCGCCGUAACAC